ACUUAAAUUGAAGAGUUUGAUCAUGGCUCAGAUUGAACGCUGGCGGCAGGCCUAACACAUGCAAGUCGAGCGGUAGCACAGAGAGCUUGCUCUCGGGUGACGAGCGGCGGACGGGUGAGUAAUGUCUGGGAAACUGCCUGAUGGAGGGGGAUAACUACUGGAAACGGUAGCUAAUACCGCAUAACGUCGCAAGAC
rnacentral:rRNA from 1 species